CAGCCGCCGCGGUAAUACAGAGGGUGCAAGCGUUAAUCGGAAUUACUGGGCGUAAAGCGCGCGUAGGUGGUUCGUUAAGUUGGAUGUGAAAUCCCCGGGCUCAACCUGGGAACUGCAUCCAAAACUGGCGAGCUAGAGUAUGGUAGAGGGUGGUGGAAUUUCCUGUGUAGCGGUGAAAUGCGUAGAUAUAGGAAGGAACACCAGUGGCGAAGGCGACCACCUGGACUGAUACUGACACUGAGGUGCGAAAGCGUGGGGAGCAAACAGGAUUAGAUACCCGAGUAGUCCCUGUCUCUUAUAA
rnacentral:rRNA from 1 species